rnacentral:rRNA from 1 species
CAAUAGCGUAUAUUUAAGUUGUUGCAGUUAAAAAGCUCGUAGUUGGAUUUCGGAUGGGAUUUGCCGGUCCGUCGUUACGAUGUGCACUGGCCAGUCCUAUCUUGUUGUCGGGGACUAGCUCCUUGGAUUCACUUCCUGGGACUAGGAGCUGACGAGGUUACUUUGAGUAAAUUAGAGUGUUCAAAGCAAGCCUACGCUCUGAAUACAUUAGCAUGGAAUAACACGAUAGGACUCUGGCUUAUCUUGUUGGUCUGUGAGACCAGAGUAAUGAUUAAGAGGGACAGUCGGGGACAUUCGUAUUUCAUUGUCAGAGGUGAGAUUCUUGGAUUUAUGAAAGACGAACUUCUGCGAAAGCAUUUGUCAAGGAUGUUUUCAUUA